rnacentral:rRNA from 1 species
CAGCACCUCAAGUGGUCAGGAUGAUUAUUGGGCCUAAAGCAUCCAUAGCCGGCGCUGUAAGUUUUCGGUUAAAUCUGUACGCUCAACGUACAGGUUGCCGGGAAUACUGCAGCGCUAGGGAGUGGGAGAGGUAGACGGUACUCGGUAGGAAGGGGUAAAAUCCUUUGAUCUAUUGAUGACCACCUGUGGCGAAGGCGGUCUACCAGAACACGUCCGACGGUGAGGGAUGAAAGCUGGGGGAGCAAACCGGAUUAGAUACCCGAGUAGUCCC